rnacentral:rRNA from 1 species
UGGGGAAUUUUNCGCAAUGGGCGAAAGCCUGACNNAGCAACGCCGCGUGAGGGAUGAAGGCCUNUGGGCUGUAAACCUCUUUUCUCANGGAAGAAAAUCUGACGGUNCUUGAGGAAUAAGCCACGGCUAAUUCCNUGCCACCAGCCGCGGUAAUACAA